rnacentral:lncRNA from 1 species
UUUCUUAGCUGAAAAUUAAAAUUUUCUUAGGACUGAAAGUGCUAGUGAUUAAUCUAUUUUAAUUUGCUUCUGCAGAAACCAGUGAAGGGUAAAAGGAUUGAUGUGAAGAAACUCGUUCUGAGAAGUAAAGAUUCUUUCUAUUUAAACAACAGUGUCUGAAAACUAAGCAUUUUGUCAUAUACUGAAUUACAAGGAAAAGUCAUGCAACAGCCUGCUGUUCCAUGUUUCUUCACAGUGUGAUGAUGAAACUGUUUUCCUCACUUCCAGAUCUUCAUAGGAGGGGAAGAAUUUUUCCAAGAGAAAUGAAAUUCUGAACAGUUCACCUGCUAUAAAGAACUCAUUAAGGAAAAAGCAGCUGCUGCCUGAACAAAAAAAAAGCAGAGACCUGAUCCAUAGUCUAACAUGGGAGCAGCAUCCUGUUGAGAGUUAAAAAGGA